rnacentral:rRNA from 1 species
CGAACGCUGACGGCGUGCCUAACACAUGCAAGUCGAAGAUAGCAAUAUCUUGGCGCACGGGUGAGUAACGCGUAGACAAUCUGCCCCCAUCUCUGACAUAACAUUGGGAAACUGGUGAUAAUAUCAGAUGAGGUGGAAACAUCAAAGUAUUUAUAUGGAUGGGGAUGAGUCUGCGUCUGAUUAGCUAGUUGGUAAGGUAACGGCUUACCAAGGCAACGAUCAGUAGCUGGUCUGAGAGGACGAUCAGCCACACUGGAACUGAGACACGGUCCAGACUCCUACGGGAGGCAACAGUGGGGAAUUUUGGACAAUGGGGGCAACCCUGAUCCAGCCAUGCCGCGUGAGUGAAGAA